AGGCACUACGGUGCUGAAGCAACAAAUGCCCUGCUUCCAGGAAAAGCCUCUAAGCAUCAGGUAACAUCAAAUCGUACCCCAAACCGACACAGGUGGUCAGGUAGAGAAUACCAAGGCGCUUGAGAGAACUCGGGUGAAGGAACUAGGCAAAAUGGUGCCGUAACUUCGGGAGAAGGCACGCUGACACGUAGGUGAAGUGAUUUACUCAUGGAGCUGAAGUCAGUCGAAGAUACCAGCUGGCUGCAACUGUUUAUUAAAAACACAGCACUGUGCAAACACGAAAGUGGACGUAUACGGUGUGACGCCUGCCCGGUGCCGGAAGGUUAAUUGAUGGGGUCAGCGCAAGCGAAGCUCCUGAUCGAAGCCCCGGUAAACGGCGGCCGUAACUAUAACGGUCCUAAGGUAGCGAAAUUCCUUGUCGGGUAAGUUCCGACCUGCACGAAUGGCGUAAUGAUGGCCAGGCUGUCUCCACCCGAGACUCAGUGAAAUUGAACUCGCUGUGAAGAUGCAGUGUACCCGCGGCAAGACGGAAAGACCCCGUGAACCUUUACUAUAGCUUGACACUGAACAUUGAGCCUUGAUGUGUAGGAUAGGUGGGAGGCUUUGAAGUGUGGACGCCAGUCUGCAUGGAGCCGACCUUGAAAUACCACCCUUUAAUGUUUGAUGUUCUAACGUGGACCCGUUACCCGGGUUGCGGACAGUGUCUGGUGGGUAGUUUGACUGGGGCGGUCUCCUCCUAAAGAGUAACGGAGGAGCACGAAGGUUGGCUAAUCCUGGUCGGACAUCAGGAGGUUAGUGCAAUGGCAUAAGCCAGCUUGACUGCGAGCGUGACGGCGCGAGCAGGUGCGAAAGCAGGUCAUAGUGAUCCGGUGGUUCUGAAUGGAAGGGCCAUCGCUCAACGGAUAAAAGGUACUCCGGGGAUAACAGGCUGAUACCGCCCAAGAGUUCAUAUCGACGGCGGUGUUUGGCACCUCGAUGUCGGCUCAUCACAUCCUGGGGCUGAAGUAGGUCCCAAGGGUAUGGCUGUUCGCCAUUUAAAGUGGUACGCGAGCUGGGUUUAGAACGUCGUGAGACAGUUCGGUCCCUAUCUGCCGUGGGCGCUGGAGAACUGAGGGGGGCUGCUCCUAGUACGAGAGGACCGGAGUGGACGCAUCACUGGUGUUCGGGUUGUCAUGCCAAUGGCACUGCCCGGUAGCUAAAUGCGGAAGAGAUAAGUGCUGAAAGCAUCUAAGCACGAAACUUGCCCCGAGAUGAGUUCUCCCUGAGACUUAGAGUCUCCUGAAGGAACGUUGAAGACGACGACGUUGAUAGGCCGGGUGUGUAAGCGCAGCGAUGCGUUGAGCUAACCGGUACUAAUGAACCGUGAGGCUUAACCUUACAACGCCGAAG
rnacentral:rRNA from 1 species